AAUCCCUGUAGAUUAAAUUGUAACAGAGAACCAGAGACUUGAUGAGUUUCCAGACAAGAUGAGAACACUGUACUGCUGUUCCUGCCAGGAGGAAGAAGCCUGCUUCUGCUGUUCUCUAUGGAGGAAGAGAAAACAAUUUUUUUAAGAUUAAUGGCUUCACAUCAAGUGACAAAAAAAUAUAAAAAGACCCCAUACACACCUGGAAGAGCGACUGCUGCUAGACCCAUCACCUGAGUGAGCUCAUGAUGAGUCCCCGUCGUUCAUGAAGGCCAGUGCCUUCUGCAUAGACCAAACAGAUUGGACUCUGGCACUUUCCCCUGAGGCAGGCAAACAUCCAACUCCAGUUAUGGGGACUGGAGACCAUGGGAGCAGGGCCCGAAGAGAAUUGGCCUCCCCCUGCGUGGGAGAUGGAAAACACGCCCGCGACGUUUUGCUGCUCCUUCCAUCCGGAGCCAGUCUGUUCCUCACCCCUCAAAGCUGGGCUGGCCCCGUGACUGCGCUGACCUACGGACUGUGAUGGAAGGUGGCAUGAUACAAGUGGCAGAGCCCAGGCCUUCAUCCUCUCAGAACCCUGAGCCACCGUGCCGGGAAGGAGCCAGGGAUGCAGGGCCACGUGAGAGAGAGGCUUGGCGCCCAGCCAUUGCCGCCACCCCAGCUGAGCCCAGCAUCCAGUGAACGCAGUCACCUGAGCGAACCCAGACAAGACCAGUGGAAGGACUGCCCGGCCAACCCGCGGAACUGGG
rnacentral:lncRNA from 1 species